rnacentral:rRNA from 1 species
GACGGAGGAUGCAAGCGUUAUCCGGAAUGAUUGGGCGUAAAGCGUCCGCAGGUGGCAGUUCAAGUCUGCUGUCAAAGACCGGGGCUUAACUUCGGAAAGGCAGUGGAAACUGAACAGCUAGAGUAUGGUAGGGGCAGAGGGAAUUCCUGGUGUAGCGGUGAAAUGCGUAGAGAUCAGGAAGAACAUCGGUGGCGAAGGCGGCUCUCUGGGACGGUACUGACGCUGAGACGCGAAAGCGUGGGGAGCGAACAGG